CCUACGGGUGGCUGCAGUGGGGAAUAUUGGUUAAUGGGCGAAAGCCUGACCCAGCAACGCCGCGUGAACGAUGAAGGCCUUCGGGUCGUAAAGUUCUUUUUACAGGGAUGAGGAAGGACAGUACCUGUAGAAUAAGUCUCGGCUAACUACGUGCCAGCAGCCGCGGUAACACGUAGGAGACGAGCGUUAUCCGGAUUUACUGGGUGUAAAGCGCGUGCAGGCGGUAUGGUAAGUUGGAUGUGAAAGCUCCUGGCUUAACUGGGAGAGGUCGUACAAGACUGCCAAACUAGAGGACAGCAGAGGGGAGUGGAAUUCCGAGUGUAGCGGUAAAAUGCAUAGAUAUUCGGAAGAACACCAGUGGCGAAGGCGGCUCUCUGGGCUGUACCUGACGCUCAGACGCGAAAGCUAGGGUAGCAAACGGGAUUAGAUACCCUGGUAGUC
rnacentral:rRNA from 1 species